rfam:Schistosoma curassoni strain Dakar, Senegal genome assembly, scaffold: SCTD_scaffold0002719
AUCCAGCUGACGAGUCCUAAAUAGGACGAAACGCGCGUCAAACUAGAU